rnacentral:rRNA from 1 species
AAUAGAUACCCAGGUAGUCCACGCCGUAAACGAUGAGUGCUAAGUGUUAGGGGGUUUCCGCCCCUUAGUGCUGCAGCUAACGCAUUAAGCACUCCGCCUGGGGAGUACGGCCGCAAGGCUGAAACUCAAAGGAAUUGACGGGGGCCCGCACAAGCGGUGGAGCAUGUGGUUUAAUUCGAAGCAACGCGAAGAACCUUACCAGGUCUUGACAUCUCCUGACCGCCCUGGAGACAGGGUCUUCCCUUCGGGGACAGGAUGACAGGUGGUGCAUGGUUGUCGUCAGCUCGUGUCGUGAGAUGUUGGGUUAAGUCCCGCAACGAGCGCAACCCUUGUCCUUAGUUGCCAGCAUUCAGUUGGGCACUCUAAGGAGACUGCCGGCUAAAAGUCGGAGGAAGGUGGGGAUGACGUCAAAUCAUCAUGCCCCUUAUGACCUGGGCUACACACGUGCUACAAUGGGCGGUACAGAGGGUCGCGAACCCGCGAGGGGGGAGCCAAUCCCAAAAAACCGGCUCUCAGUUCGGAUUGCAGG